rnacentral:rRNA from 1 species
GUACGGGUGAGUAACACGUGACUAACCUACCCUUGAGUGGGGGAUAACUUCGGGAAACCGAGGCUAAUACCGCAUAAUACCGAGAGGUCAAAGGAGCAAUUCGCCUUAGGAGGGGGUCGCGGCUGAUUAGCUAGUUGGUAGGGUAAUGGCCUACCAAGGCAAUGAUCAGUAUCCGGCCUGAGAGGGCGCACGGACACACUGGAACUGAAACACGGUCCAGACUCCUACGGGAGGCAGCAGUGGGGAAUUUUGCACAAUGGGGGAAACCCUGAUGCAGCAACGCCGCGUGGAGGAUGAAGUCCCUUGGGAUGUAAACUCCUUUCGACCGGGACGAUAAUGACGGUACCGGUGGAAGAAGCCCCGGCUAACUCUGUGCCAGCAGCCGCGGUAAUACAGAGGGGGCAAGCGUUGUUCGGAAUUAUUGGGCGUAAAGGGUGCGUAGGCGGUGCGGUAAGUCUUCUGUGAAAUCUCCGGGCUCGACUCGGAGUCUGCAGGAGAAACUGCCGUGCUUGAGUAUGGGAGAGGUGAGUGGAAUUCCUGGUGUAGCGGUGAAAUGCGUAGAUAUCA